AAAAAAAGGCUGCUUCAACCCCUGCUGCAAGCAAAGUUCCGAUUCCCUCUGCUGGCUAUCUCGAAUAGCAAGCGAUUUUUGCAGCAACGCUGCUGCCGCUGGAACUGAACCUGAAGAACUCAAAUGCGGGCGGUGGAUUAUUUCUUAUCCCUCCUCCAUCUACCCCACACAAGAGCUGCUUUUUGUUCCUCUUUUUGCCAAGUUCCAAGGUGAGGAUACAAUGAGAAGACCUGCCUUCUGCAAACCCGGAGGCAAGCCCUCAUCAGACACCAGGUCUGCUGCCACCAUGAUGUUGGACUGCUCAGCCUCCAGAACUGAGUCUUGAGACUUCUCUUCUUUUGGUGUGGAUUCCGGAACUCCUUUCUGAAGCAAGAGGCAAAUAUCUCUCAGCAGAGAAUGCCAAGACCAAUCACUUAACCAUGGCAAUCUUACUCAGCAUGGUAAUUCCCACCCUGAUGGUCCCAAGAUGGCUGCAGCAGUUUCAGCCAUGUUAUCCUAAUCCACCAACAUCUGGAGGUAUCUGUCUUUUCAAUCUCCAUCUAUUACAAAUGUAGGAUACUUUUACCAGAAGGUCCUCCUCUAGACUACUACUCAUGUUUCAUUGGACAAAUUUGGUCCCAUGGAAUUUCUUAAGUCAUUUACUGAUGAGGAAAGUGGAAUUAUCAUGACUGGAUUAGACUACCUAAGAUUCACCACUCCUGAGCCUGGAGAAAGAUAAUUUUCUCAGAGCAAACAACUGCAUAUGGCUGAAGAUAGGAAUGAACUAUAAAACAAAAUUGGAGUCCUCCAGGAAAGAAAGGGGGAAUUAAAGGGAAAUGAUUGUGUAGGCAAAACACAAUAGUCUCCAAUGCCAAAUAAACUUUGUUUUGUUACUCUCUCA